CCUAACUCUCACUUCUGUCACAGUGUCAAUCUCAAUGUUAAAUGUAAAUAGAAAACAUAUGCGAAGAAUGAGGAAAAAGUGUUGUGUAACUCAGAAUGUAUGGAUUUACUAUGGAAAAUUGCAGAUAACAUUCCAUGAGUGUAACAGAGGCAUUAUUGUCACAUUUGCUAUGUGUUUUGCAACCCGGGCCAGGACGGUUGGCUAGAAAACAUAUGCGAAGAAUGAGGAAAAAGUGUUGUGUAACUCAGAAUGUAUGGAUUUACUAUGGAAAAUUGCAGAUAACAUUCCAUGAGUGUAACAGAGGCAUUAUUGUCA